rnacentral:ncRNA from 1 species
UGACCUCGGAUCAGACGUGAUUACCCGCUGAAUUUAAGCAUAUUAUUAAGCGGAGGAAAAGAAACUAACAAGGAUUCCCCUAGUAACGGCGAGUGAACGGGGAAGAGCCCAACACCGAAUCCCUUGGCGCAAGUCAACGGGAAAUGUGGUGUUAAGGUAGCCCUUCGUGUCAGUCUAGGCGUCUCAAGUCCACCUGAUUGUGGCUCAAGCCCAGAGAGGGUGUAAGGCCCGUAGAGACGCUCCGACUGAUUCCUGGGGUUUACCUACGAGUCGGCUUGUUUGGGAAUGCAGGCCAAAGCGGGUGGUAAACUCCAUCCAAGGCUAAAUACUGGCACGAGUCCGAUAGCGGACAAGUACCGUGAGGGAAAGUUGAAAAAGAACUUUGAAGAGAGAGUUCA